GCAAGGCCGGGCUCGUCUCGCGCUGCGCUCCUGGCCGCUAGGGGGCGCCAGGGCGCGGCCGGGUGGUCCCGCCCUCAGGGAGCCGGGAGCUGAGGGAGAGAUGGUUUGACCCUAUGCCAGGCAGCUCCAGCCUUUCCCUUUUAUAAAUCUCGGUGUGGCACCUUGCAGCUUUUCCCUCCUAAGCUCAGGACCUGCUGUGCCAUCCCACCUGUCCUGGGUAGGUUUUGAAGAUCUGUUUUGUACAGAACCCGUUGCCAAAAAGGGGUUUAAGCAGCGGCUUUGUCACAGCUAAAGAACGAAUCAGAGGCUUCUUGGCAAGCAACAUCCUGAGCCCUCAGAGGCAUCCUCAUUUGUAACUCCACACAAACGUGCUGUUCAGAGAUGCAUGGGGAGGUGUAUGGCUGUUCCAGAGCAGUGCUUGCUGAGGGAGCAUCGUGGUUGAACUUUUGAAUCCUGCCAUGAAGAGGCUGAUGGAACCUGGGAUGUGGUGUGAGCUCCCUGCCUUGGGUUGCGUCACCUCCCAGCUGGCCCAUUUAAUGCCUGUUACUCUUCUGGCCUGGGACAAUUCUGAAAAGUGGGAUCCCUACUGGUGCUGAGAUGGAUCAGGCUGAAGCACCUUGUCCUGCUGCUCUGGGCUUUCCCACAUGCCUGCUUACAGGACUCUCAGGGACUCCUACUCUAAUGGCAUUUGUUGUACCAAAAGCAAGGUGUCCCUCUCUGCUCCCUUGUAGCCAGCAAGAGUUCUGGCCCUUUUAAAGAGCCUUUUGUUUCCUGUAUGGGGGGCAUCGGCUCCAUUUCCCAGAGCGUUUCUGCUGGGAGAGGCUGUGAGACUCAGUGACUGAUUUGCAAGUGCUGUUAGAGAUGGAGAAUCCGUGCACUUCUGCCUUGACAACCAGGGGAUGCACCCACAGGCACCGUUGGCUGUUGUGGACUCUGCUUGGACUUGGUUUUUGGGAAGAAGACAGACACAAGUGAGUGGAGAAGGAUCUUGAUAAGACUUUUUUCUGAGAAAGAAAAGACACAGAAAAAGCUACACAAGCUGUUCAAAAACUGUAUUUCAUUGCUCUCUGCACUUCCCCCAAGCAAUCUUCCUCCCAGAGAAACAGAACAAGUGGAACUGUGCAACAAGUGAAGUUUAGUUAUAUUUUUUAAUAUGUUGGCUUUUGAUAGCUAUUAAAAAUUGUUUCAGAGA